rnacentral:rRNA from 1 species
UAGGGAAUCUUCCGCAAUGGACGCAAGUCUGACGGAGCAACGCCGCGUGAGUGAAGAAGGAUUUCGGUUCGUAAAACUCUGUUGUUAGAGAAGAACAGCGCAUAGAGUAACUGUUAUGCGUGUGACGGUAUCUAACCAGAAAGCCACGGCUAACUACGUGCCAGCAGCCGCGGUAAUACGUAGGUGGCAAGCGUUGUCCGGAUUUAUUGGGCGUAAAGCGAGCGCAGGCGGUCAAUUAAGUCUGAUGUGAAAGCCCCCGGCUCAACCGGGGAGGGUCAAUGGAAACUGGUUGACUUGAGUGCAGAAGAGGGGAGUGGAAUUCCAUGUGUAGCGGUGAAAUGCGUAGAUAUAUGGAGGAACACCAGUGACGAAGGCGACUCUCUGGUCUGUAACUGACGCUGAGGCUCGAAAGCGUGGGUAGCAAACAGG